AAAUUGAAGAGUUUGAUCAUGGCUCAGAUUGAACGCUGGCGGCAGGCCUAACACAUGCAAGUCGAACGGUAACAGGAAACAGCUUGCUGUUUCGCUGACGAGUGGCGGACGGGUGAGUAAUGUCUGGGAAACUGCCUGAUGGAGGGGGAUAACUACUGGAAACGGUAGCUAAUACCGCAUAACGUCGCAAGACCAAAGAGGGGGACCUUCGGGCCUCUUGCCAUCGGAUGUGCCCAGAUGGGAUUAGCUAGUAGGUGGGGUAACGGCUCACCUAGGCGACGAUCCCUAGCUGGUCUGAGAGGAUGACCAGCCACACUGGAACUGAGACACGGUCC
rnacentral:rRNA from 1 species